GACUGUUAGUGGGAGCGGCCUAUUGGUCUUUUUGGUUUGAACCGGUCAGUUAUGGACAACCUAGACUGGUUUAACUCCUUGUGGUCCUGUCAUUUGUCAAU